UAACGCGUGGGUAACCUGCCCUAUACACAUGGAUAACAUACUGAAAAGUUUACUAAUACAUGAUAAUAUAUAUUUACGGCAUCGUAGAUAUAUCAAAGUGUUAGCGGUAUAGGAUGGACCCGCGUCUGAUUAGCUAAUUGGUGAGAUAACUGCCCACCAAGGCGACGAUCAGUAGCCGACCUGAGAGGGUGAUCGGCCACAUUGGAACUGAGACACGGUCCAAACUCCUACGGGAGGCAGCAGAG
rnacentral:rRNA from 1 species